CCUCAAGUUGUUAGGGAUGCAAUGAGAGAGAUUAUGCUAAAUAAGAAGCAAAGAAAGGAGGAGGUGAGUUCAACGGCUUCAAUGGGUAAAUGGCUUGAAUG